rnacentral:lncRNA from 1 species
GAGGUUCAUCCUUCCAUUCUGCUGGAUUGUCACUAUAUGCUGCUAGGUAUCACUAGUGGAUUGUGAGACUCAAAGGCAUUCACUUGGUGAUUAGUGAACCCUAAGAGCAGAGUUGAAGUCGUUUCAACCCAUUGAAAGGAGUUUCGAUGAUAUUAUGAUGGAGAUCAUAAUAUAUCUCACUACCAGUCAGAAUAGAACCUACGGGGUCACACACAUUAGAGGUUUUAAUCGUUCCGACGGUUGGAUUGCGGUUUAGAUUCGCAAUUAAAAUUGAUUGUCAAUUUGAUUGACAAUUGGUUUAAUCCGCUAAAAGUUAGUGAAUUAAAGAAGAAAGAUUUGCAAUUGGAUUGCAAUUUAAUUGAUUUAAUUGGACCUAAUUAAAUUAGGCUUAACCUUAUUGGAUAAGGAUGGCAAGGCCUAAUUAAUUAGAACCCUUAUUAGAUAAGGAACUUGAUUCAUGAAGUCCAAUUCAAGUCCUAAUUGGAUUAGGAUUUAUAUAAAUCAAUUUGGAGGACCCAUUGGAUUCUAAUUAGAUUAGAAUUCAAUUGGCCAAGUGGGACCAUG